UACGGGGGGAGCAAGCGUUGUUCGGAUUUACUGGGCGUAAAGGGCGCGUAGGCGGUCAGCACAAGUCAGUUGUGAAAUCUCCGAGCUUAACUCGGAAAGGUCAACUGAUACUGUGCGACUAGAGUGCAGAAGGGGCAACUGGAAUUCUCGGUGUAGCGGUGAAAUGCGUAGAUAUCGAGAGGAACACCUGCGGCGAAGGCGACUACCUGGCCUGUUCUUGACGCUGAGGCGCGAAAGCUAGGGGAGCAAACGGG
rnacentral:rRNA from 1 species